rnacentral:lncRNA from 1 species
CGUCUACCAUGUCAAGAUACCAGAUGCUGGAGUCUCAAAAUGAAAGGCCAAAUUCUUGUUCUGCAGGCAUUGACAGUCUCCACGGGGAAGAAAAGAAAGCACAAUGAGGAAGCAGUCUUACGACGGAACUGUCGGGAGACACUGAGAAGCAAAGAUAUGGACACAGCUCCACCUUGCGGUGAAUCAACGCAUAUGCUAAGAUAAAUUGGAUUUCUAUACCUUCUCCCCACAAGGAUUUUGAUGGACACAACAUGAAUGAAUUCAGCAUAAAACAGAUGGAAUAUAAUAAAUGCUCAUAGUAAAUAUUUGGCACAGGAAGUGCUCCUGAGAAAACGUUUUUGAGCUUUCCCACUUAGAGAUUCCACACUUUAACCCAACACAAGCUCGGAAGCCCAUGGUCAUGUGCAUGCAUGUGCGCAUGCUGGCUUAUGAUGACGACAAUAAUGGCGUUGACAAGGAUAGCAGUGAACAAUAAAGAACCAAAAGAACCUCACUGUCCCAGAGGUCUCCGCUCACUGGUACAAGUCAGUCCUAUCUAAAUCAAAGGAAACAUUUGCUGCAAACACAGGCAGGAAAUCCCUAUCAUUGCAAUGAGAAUUAAUUGC